AGAACGAACGCUGGCGGCAUGCCUAACACAUGCAAGUCGAACGAGACCUUCGGGUCUAGUGGCGCACGGGUGCGUAACGCGUGGGAAUCUGCCCUUGGGUUCGGAAUAACAGUUGGAAACGACUGCUAAUACCGGAUGAUGACGUAAGUCCAAAGAUUUAUCGCCCAGGGAUGAGCCCGCGUAGGAUUAGCUAGUUGGUGAGGUAAAGGCUCACCAAGGCGACGAUCCUUAGCUGGUCUGAGAGGAUGAUCAGCCACACUGGGACUGAGACACGGCCCAGUACCU
rnacentral:rRNA from 1 species